AGUGAACGCUGGCGGUAGGCCUAACACAUGCAAGUCGAACGGCAGCACAGUAAGAGCUUGCUCUUACGGGUGGCGAGUGGCGGACGGGUGAGGAAUACAUCGGAAUCUACUUUUUCGUGGGGGAUAACGUAGGGAAACUUACGCUAAUACCGCAUACGACCUACGGGUGAAAGCAGGGGAUAUUCGGACCUUGCGCGAUUGAAUGAGCCGAUGUCGGAUUGGCUAGUUGGCGGGGUAAAGGCCCACCAAGGCGACGAUCCGUAGCUGGUCUGAGAGGAUGAUCAGCCACACUGGAACUGAGACACGGUCCAGACUCCUACGGGAGGCAGCAGUGGGGAAUAUUGGACAAUGGGCGCAAGCCUGAUCCAGCCAUACCGCGUGGGUGAAGAAGGCCUUCGGGUUGUAAAGCCCUUUUGUUGGGAAAGAAAAGCAGCAGGUUAAUACCCCGCUGUUCUGACGGUACCCAAAGAAUAAGCACCGGCUAACUUCGUG
rnacentral:rRNA from 1 species